UACAGAGGUCUCGAGCGCUGUUCGGAUUCAUUGGGCGUAAAGGGCGCGUAGGCGGCGGGGUAAGUCUGGUGUGAAAUCUCGGAGCUCAACUCCGAAAUUGCACUGGAUACUGCUCUGCUAGAGGGCUGGAGAGGAGAUCGGAAUUCACGGUGUAGCAGUGAAAUGCGUAGAUAUCGUGAGGAAGACCAGUGGCGAAGGCGGAUCUCUGGACAGCUCCUGACUCUGAGGCGCGAAGGCUAGGGGAGCAAACGGG
rnacentral:rRNA from 1 species